rnacentral:rRNA from 1 species
CCCAGUUCGGACUGGAGUCUGCAACCCGACUCCACGAAGCUGGAUUCGCUAGUAAUCGCGCAUCAGCCAUGGCGCGGUGAAUACGUUCCCGGGCCUUGUACACACCGCCCGUCAAGCCAUGGGAGCCGGGGCGCCUGAAGUCCGGGACCGCGAGGACCGGCCUAGGGCGAAACUGGUGACUGGGGCUAAGUCGUAACAAGGUAUC